UGGUAGUGGACCUAGUCCUGAAGCCUGAU
rnacentral:piRNA from 1 species